UACGUAGGCAGCAAGCGUUGUUCGGAGUUACUGGGCGUAAAGGGUGUGUAGGCGGUUGUUUAAGUUUGGUGUGAAAUCUCCCGGCUCAACUGGGAGGGUGCGCCGAAUACUGAAUGACUUCGAGUGCGGGAGAGGAAAGUGGAAUUCCUGGUGUAGCGGUGAAAUGCGUAGAUAUCAGGAGGAACACCUGCGGUGUAGACGGCUUACUGGACCAUAACUGACGCUGAGGCACGAAAGCGUGGGUAGCAAACAGG
rnacentral:rRNA from 1 species